rnacentral:tRNA from 1 species
AUCGAGUUGGAGUAGUCAGGUUAUCUCACGAGGCUCAUAACCUCGGGACCGGUGGUUCAAAUCCACCACUCGAUACCA